UGCGCUAUUUUCAUAUUUUCAGUCUUCGGUUACGACCGUGAGCAGUUUACUUACGUGAGUAAUAACUGAACUCAGCUGCCUGUAAUCGUGAGUCACAUACUUGUCAGUCUUUCGACUAAGACAGUGGUGCACAUAACGCAGGAAAUCCAAUCGGGCAAGUUUCAUCGAUACGACUACGGUGCCACAAAAAUCUCUUAAUCUAUUCGAUAGAACCUCCGGAUUAUGAUUUAUCGAGUGUUACGGUGCCGAUCGUGAUAUUCUAUGCUAACAACGACUUCCUGGUCGAUCCCAUUAAUGUGAAGAGGUUGUAUAAUUUACUGCCCAACGUAAUAGAUUUGUACAAUGUGCCGCGGCCCAGUUUUAAUCACGUGGGCUUUAUAUGAACCGAGGAUGCACCUAUACUUGUGUACAAAAGAGUUUUUAAAAUCAUGAAAAGGAAAUAUUUAAAUAAUGUAACAACGAUAUGAUAAUAGGUACAUUGCGCUGAUCUGGAUUAUGGAAGUUAAAUAAAUAAAUAAAUAAAUAAAUAAUAAAUAAUGAUUAAAAGUGCUAAAAACA